GACGAACGCUGGCGGCGUGCUUAACACAUGCAAGUCGAGCGGUAAGGCCCUUUCGGGGGUACACGAGCGGCGAACGGGUGAGUAACACGUGGGUGACCUGCCCUCAGCUCUGGGAUAAGCCUGGGAAACUGGGUCUAAUACUGGAUAUGACUCCACGGUGCAUGUCGUGGGGUGGAAAGCCUUGUGCGGCUGAGGAUGGGCCCGCGGCCUAUCAGCUUGUUGGUGGGGGAUGGCCUACCAAGGCAUCGAUCGGUAGCUGGUCUGAGAGGAUGAUCAGCCACACUGGGACUGAGACACGGCCCAGACUCCUACGGGAGGCAGCAGUGGGGAAUAUUGGACAAUGGGCGCAAGCCUGAUCCAGCAAUGCCGCGUGGAUGAAGAAGGUUUUCGGAUUGUAAAGUCCUUUCGGCGGGACGAUGAUGACGGUACCGCAGAAGAAGCCCCGGCUAACUUCGUGCCAGCAGCCGCU
rnacentral:rRNA from 1 species